rnacentral:misc_RNA from 1 species
AAAAAAAAACUUGGAGACAAUAUUACUUCUAUUGUGGCAUUGCCUGAGAUGUUGGAUGGUCACAUGGUAGCAGCCCCUAAAUCAUUGUUGAAUACAAGAACUAUUUUCAGAAAUAAGGAGCCUGUGUUGCAGGGAUUGAUUAAGUGGAAGAAUAUGCCUGUUGAGGAUGCUACUUGGGAGGACUAUUCCUUCAUUACAGGCCAAUUUCCUAAGUUUCAACCUUCUUGGGGACAAGAAGUGAUGGAAAUCAACAAUAACAACAAGAUCCUAGGAAUGUUCAUGAGAGGAUUCAAGAUGCAAUGGCACAAGAAGCUCCAAUCACAAGGACUAG